ensembl:misc_RNA
GUGCCAGUCCUGGCUGCAGGCCUUCAUUUAUCUAGAUCAGGGGUACCAGCUUCCCCUAACACAUCAGUCUCUCUCUCUCCUGUCACAGAAGGACCAUCUCUAGGACCCAGAGGGGAGUUCAGUCACCAGGGUCCAUUCAAUCCUUGGCUUCU